rnacentral:lncRNA from 1 species
CAAAAGCAUAGAUUUGCAUUCUUUUGAGUGCUAUAAAUUAUAGUUCCCUUCAAGAAAGCUGUUUCUUCAAAAUUAUAUUUGGAGAUCUGACAAUAACAUACAUUUUCCGUAUUUACCACUCACAGUCCUUAAAUGCACAAAAGGAUGCAAAUUCCAAAAGAAUUAAUGCUAAUCAAAAUACAACAUACUUUUGUAUCACAAAACCAUGUCAAAGGAAAUGUCCAAAAGGGUCGAAUGCUUGGCCUUUAAAUUUGGAACCACCAACAAACAUCAUUCCAACCAGAUUCCCUCUACUAUACCCUAAUAAACCCAUAUAGAGCCCAAAUUUUGAUGAAACGGAAAAGAGCAUGGAUCAUCAAAACCAACAGCAAAGAAUGUAGGGUUUUACAAGCUAUGAAAAUCCAACCUUUUCUCGAAAUGGCCUAUUUGUCAUUUUUUAUGAAGUCCUUACUGUCCAGGUUUUUUUUUUAUCCGAUACGAUAUAAAAAGGGAUUAUAAAAAAUGGCAGUUUCAAAUAAAAAUCAUCAAUAAUAAGUACAAAAAAAAUAAUAAAAAAAUAAUAAAAAAAUCCUGCAUUACAACUUCGUCG